GUUUCCAGGGGCCAAGGCUCAGAGGCAGGAGGAGCAAAACUGGGCUCUCACCCUGCAGACAAGUCCUGGGAGAGGAAAGGACAAGGAGGACAGUGAGGCUGUGGAGGAUGUGUCCAGGUCCAAGCAGAAGCUGUGUGACAAUGCAGGACCUUCAAGCUGCCUCUCUGUGGGCUGUAGCACCUUUGCUGCCAUCACAGGAGGCACAAGCUGAUCCAGAGCAGGAUUUCUGGGUGGCAGGCCAGCAGGAUGGCUUCGCCUGCACGGGUGGCAGACCACAGCUCAGCAGGACCACGGAGUGUGAGGAAAACUGGGAUUUGAAUGCGGUCAGCUUCUGGCAGAGGAGAGGGCAGCCAAAUACCAGGGGAACGGCUCUCCCAACCCCAACCACGCUGUGCUACAUGUGGUUUCCAGCAAAAUCACAGAGCAGCAUUUCUCCAUGUGGCCUAGGGAGCUCUCUGUCCCAGGAAGGACAUGGAGAUAACGUUGGAGAAGUAUCAUGGACAGCAGUGAAAUCACCUCAAAAUGUUCUCUGCAGCCUGGGCCAGUCAGGAGGUCAGCGGAGCAGCCUGGCUGCCCCCCACACACACUGCUCUCCACACUCCCAAUUGCUGCCCCAGUGACAGGGGUUCCAGGCUGCAUUUUCCUUCCUGGAGCUUGGUUCAUGAGAGGAGCAGCCUUGUAAGAUGGUCCUCUGGGGCUCUGGCUGACUCCAAACUGGCUGGGAACAGCUCCUGAGAAAAGCCAAGCCAUUGCCAGGCUGCUAUCACCAGCCUUGGUGCAGACAGUCACAUAAGUCAAACACACCCUUUCUCUAUUUCUCUCCCAAAACCCUGCAGCAGGUGGAAACCCACCCCAAAGGGUCUUGAUUUGAAAGUACAGGAGGGAAGCCUUGCACUUCCCAGCCCAGCCCAGCCCAUCUUCCUGGGGAACAGCAGGACAUAACUGAGACUGUAACAGCCAUUCUUCCCUUUCCUCCCCAUGUCAGAGCAGCCACCAGCUCAUGGCAGACCCCCAUGUCCCAAGGCACCUUUUCCCCAGCUUGUCUUCACAGGGGGAAAUUCCUACCACCUUCAUAUGGCCACAGACAUCAUUCAUGGGGACCUGCUGCAGGGCAUGUUUGAAUCACAGGAUGUUUUGAGAUGAAAGGGAUCUUAAAGACCAUCUAGUUCCCAAUCACCUGGCAAGGCCAGGGACACUUUUCACCAGACAAAGUUUCUCAAAGCCCCAUUUAACCUGGCCUUGCUCUCCAGGGAUGUCCCAGGCUUCUCCUCCUGAUCUGCUCCUGUGGGUGAGGUUCCCUCAGACACAGCCCAGCCCCUCUGGAGGAAGCAGCACUCCCGUGUGACUGACACCACACUUGGCACAGCUUGGGCUCAGGCAGUAGGAGGUCUGAGGAUGCUGUCCUCUCCAGCUGUGUCCCCAUGGUCCUGCAGAUCUCCACUGCCUCACCCUGCCUGGGCUGUGCUGGCUGCCAGCCCACCAGAACCUCCCCACACUGUGGGGGCCACCAUAAGCCUGCAAAAGGCCAAUCUUGGCUGUGGCUUUGUGGUCAGAGCACAGAAGAAGCCCAGCCAAGCAGUCUGGUUGCUUUUAUUUAGACUCAGGGCCUGCAUGAGGCAGUCCCCUCCCUGUUCCUUUAGGGGGAUUCUCAUUUGGGGGCCACCAGCUUGCAAUUAGUAAAUCACUGCUCUCCCACCUCCCACAGCACCAGGUCACCCUGCCCUGGGCAGCCCAGCAGCCAGGGGAGAGAACACCCAGCCAAACACCUUUUACAAAUCAUUCUGCAUAGUUCACAUUCUCGGCCGGUUUAUGAGCAUUUUAGCUCCUCAUAUUGAUCAGGGCUGGAGCCGAAGUAAUUACAUUAAUCAGAAAUAAUUUCCCAUGAUUUUGAGUCAUAUUUGAGCUGGUGCCCAGCUCCUCUGCUCACCCCUCUGCUCCCUGGUACAUACUUUCCAGGCGACAUCGCUGCUUCCAUAACCAUAGCGAGACCCGGAGGUUUGUUUUUCUCAGCUGGAUCCCACACACGCUCUAAAGGUUUCAGUCAUGUCUUUAUUGAUUUGGCUGGGGAAGGGGACAAGAGGAGGUGGUUUAUGUGAAGCUCAUGCUUGGGAAAUGUCUCCAGAUGUCUCUGGCAUCAGGAUGGGGCAUAGGGAAGGGUUGGGGGCCUGCAACUCCUUUGCACAUGGAGGCAUCACUUGUUUCAACUUUUCCAGUCUUGCUCAGAAGAUGGAGAGCAAGCCCAGCCAUUGCUUUGUCCCCUGGGGUGGAAUCUGGAAGCGGGACUCACCUGCAAAGCCUUUGGCAUGAUUCCUGUGGAGAAGCAGCAGGUCCCCUGCCAGCUGGCUUGGAUGGUGACCAGUCAUUUGGGGUUUUCAGGUGCUGGGUGUGAAGGGUGAACUGCCAGCUCCUCAUUCCCCCCCAGCCCUGCUCCCCAGUGUGCCCAAGGUCUGUGCUGGAAGCUCCUGCAGGAGCCAGGCUCCUUCCAUAGAGGAUGCUGAGGAAUGCCCACUUCUCUGCCUUUGGGAAGGUCCCAGCCAUGACUGGGGCUUUGUGGAGCAUCCACUGGAGAUGUGCCAGCUGUCUUUGCCCCAGGUCACUGUCCCCUCCCCAGCACUGCCCUGUCCCAGCAUCCUGGAUUCACCAGCAGCCUCAGCUGCUCCUGCUGCUGGCGAGCCAAGAGCAGCCCUGGGCACGUGAAGGGCUGUGACAUUUGGGAACAGACACAGCCUGUGUCACCCAAACCUCUUCCAGCACCACACACUUCCCAGGCACAACCCCAGCUGCCUCAUGUGUGCAGCACUUGCAUCCUCCAAAGCCUUACCAGUCAGAAAGCAGGGCUGGAAGGGAGCACAGCCCUCUCCAAAGCAGAGCUGGCACAAUUACAAGGUAAGUUUGGGGACACUUAAAAGCAUCACUGGCUGCACAUUGGUGAGUGCCUCCAUUUGCAGCCUCUUUGAUGCUGCAGGGGACACAGCAGCUGUCUGAAAACACACAGCACCCUCAAGCAAGACAAGAACUGCAGGAAAAAUGCUGUCUAUCUUAGCCUGAAACCACAAGAAAUAUAGAGAUAGUCAAAAAGAAUGAGCAAUUUGAUCAGGAAACAUGAGUGAGCCAUCCAGCUCCAUGGAAAAUACAAAGGGUCUGUCAGUAACCACACAGGGUCAGGAUCUGGGGAUUAUGUCUUGUCUGAAAGAUAAAACUUCUGGUGAUAUUUUUAAAAAGAAGUUUAUGUUUGAUGAUGUUUGAUUCUCAAUAAAAAAUAAAAUCCCAGAGGAUCA
rnacentral:lncRNA from 1 species